UAAUAAUUUAAAAACCAUAACAAAUAACAGCCAAGACAAUAUAUAAAAAUAGAAAAUUUACACACACUUCUAUUUUAAAGAAAUGUCACCCAAUUUAGUUAAAGAAACAGGUCAAAUGUUCAUGACAAGUCCAUAUUUUGUAACUCUUAAUUUAUAUUAAACACUUACACAUACUUCUUUGGCAUACUUUAUGAAAGUAGGUAUGUAUGGCGAAAAUUAAGAUAUCCAAACAGCUGAGAGCAGUUACGGCUAAGGAAAUGUCAUUGUAUGGGGAGCAACUGUCUGUGUGUUUUAAGUAGUAGAUCCUAAACAAAUGAUAAGGUAAGAAACAAAAUAGCAUGACCAAAAUGAAGAACAAACUUUUCAGCUGUGCCCAGAAAUCCUGAUGAACCAACACAGAGCCUUGUAUUUUUUUGACAACCUUCACAAUUAUGAGGAUCUGUAUGGUCAGAAGAAAGCAAACCACUGAGAUCAUAAUAGCUAUUAUGACAUAGUUCACUAUAAUCACAAUGUUGCUAGAAAGUUCUUUGUGAAAGUAGAAACAUUGAUCCGGUAAGUUGGGAAUAGAGUUUUGGCCGUAUACCAAAAAAGUGGGAAGAGCAAUAAUGAGAAUGACUAUCCAUACAGCAGCGCUGGUUGCCACCGAAUGCAGGAUUCUAUAAAAUUCAAUCUUGUCCUUCUGUUGGAAAAAUAUAAAGAAUCUGGUGCCUAGUAUAAUCAGGUAAAAUACAAAACAAAUAUACAUGUGUAUAUGUAUCAUAGCGCUUACAAGUCUGCAAAAAAUAGUGGUAAAGAUCCAUUUCUUUUGAAUAAUGUAAGCAAUCCGGAAUGGUACUGUGAGGAGGAAGACAGUGUGAACAACCAAUAAGUUGAUGACUGCUGUUAUGGUGACUGAACGUGUGUUUGUUCUACAAAUCAAGAAGAUCAUUAUAAGUGUUCCAAUGAAUCCUCCUAGAAACACCACAGAGUAGAUUGCAAGCAGGAUACCAUUUGCAGUGUUAUCAACGAAUAAACAGUCGGUUUCAUUUUGUGUGCUAUUGUCUGACAUUUUGUUUUAUUUUGGUAGAAUUACCU